UACGGGGGGUGCGAGCGUUGUCCGGAUUUAUUGGGCGUAAAGAGCGUGUAGGCGGCCUGGUAGGUCUGCUGUGAAAACUCGAGGCUCAACCUCGAGCUGUCGGCGGAAACCACUUGGCUAGAGUCCGGAAGAGGAGAGUGGAAUUCCUGGUGUAGCGGUGAAAUGCGCAGAUAUCAGGAAGAACACCUAUGGCGAAGGCAGCUCUCUGGGACGGUACUGACGCUGAGACGCGAAAGCGUGGGGAGCGAACAGG
rnacentral:rRNA from 1 species